GCGGAUGUGGUGGAAUUGGUAGACACGCAGGACUUAGAAUCCUGUGCCUAAUAAGCGUGGGGGUUCAAAUCCCUCCAUCCGCA
rnacentral:tRNA from 1 species